GAACUCCUGAGUCUGCCGGGAGACCCCUGCCCGGAUGACCUCAGCCGUGUAGACCCCUGCAUCAUCCAGCUGGGCAGAGGAGAGCUCCAGAACCCCCCGGGCCUGGUCAAAUCGCAGGCGGUCUCGGGACUGAUCUGGAAAUUUCCAGCUGGGAGGUUUGAUGGAGGGAACUUCUGCACGCAGCCCCUGCGAAGAGCUCUUUGAGUCCGAAGAGAAGGAAGAGGAGUAGUUGGUUUGCUGAAGUCCAGAAGAGAAUCUGAGGGUGAGAACCCCUACCAAGGAGGCUGCAGAGAAGAGGGGAAGGCAUUGGGGGAGGCUGCUCAGGGAGACUGGCUGGGAGGGGACUGUGCAGGAAACUUACCCAGGAGAAAGAAGAGUGGCAGAGCCUGUGGGGUGUCCAUGGUGCUGGCCUUACUGAAAGGACACUGGAGCAAGACCCAGGACUGCACCUCUCCCUCCCGGAUGAGACAAGUCUAACAGGACUGGUAGCUUAGCUUCCUGGGAGGGGAAGGGAGCCAGACCCAGAGGGAGGUGCCAGGAUCCCCAACCCUGAUGUGGUGGCUGAGCUGCCCACCCCACCCCAUUCUCUUCAUUAGCUGGUCCCACCUGCAGGGAGGCUCAGCCUGAUCCCUGCACUCCCCACCCACAGGUGGAAAAUGAAGUAAAAAUUCCCAGGUAAAAAUGUGGUAGCAAAUUUGUGGGGCAAAGCCAGGAAGACUUCCUGGAGGAGGGUGAGGAGACCUUUCUCAGAGCCCCACCUCUGAGGGCCACAGCCUCCUGGCCCCUUCCACUCUGUCUUGCCUGCAGCCUCAGAUACCCACAUCUAAUCCUGCUCCUCCUCUGCUCUAAACCCUCCCAUGGCUCUCUGUUGCCCUCAGAACCAAGUCUCCAGGUGCUAUUUCCUGCCAGGGCCUCUAUCCUGAGAUCAGAGCUGCAUUUCUGCAUCCCCAAGGCCCUCAUAUGGCCUGUGUCCUGCUAAACUCAGAAUCUUUCCUCUAACCCAAACUUCCUCCUACCUCCAGAAUGGCUUCACCAUCUUUGAAAACGCUGGGAAACAUUCCCAUCUCCUCCCUCCCC